rnacentral:rRNA from 1 species
AUUGAACGCUGGCGGAAUGCUUUACACAUGCAAGUCGAACGGCAGCACGGGGGCAGCCCUGGUGGCGAGUGGCGAACGGGUGAGUAAUACAUCGGAACGUGCCCGGUCGUGGGGGAUAACGUAGCGAAAGUUACGCUAAUACCGCAUACGAUCUGAGGAUGAAAGCGGGGGACCUUCGGGCCUCGCGCGAUCGGAGCGGCCGAUGUCUGAUUAGGUAGUUGGUGGGGUAAAGGCCUACCAAGCCGACGAUCUGUAGCUGGUCUGAGAGGACGACCAGCCACACUGGAACUGAGACACGGCCCAGACUCCUACGGGAGGCAGCAGUGGGGAAUUUUGGACAAUGGGCGCAAGCCUGAUCCAGCCAUUCCGCGUGCAGGACGAAGGCCUUCGGGUUGUAAACUGCUUUUGUACGGAACGAAAAGGCUCUGGCUAAUACCUGGGGCUCAUGACGGUACCGUAAGAAUAAGCACCGGCUAACUACGUG